GACGAACGCUGGCGGCGUGCUUAACACAUGCAAGUCGAACGGUAAGGCUCCAGCUUGCUGGGGUACACGAGUGGCGAACGGGUGAGUAACACGUGGGUGACCUGCCCUGCACUUCGGGAUAAGCCUGGGAAACUGGGUCUAAUACCGGAUAGGACCGCACCGUGAGGGUGUGGUGGAAAGUUUUUUCGGUGUGGGAUGGGCCCGCGGCCUAUCAGCUUGUUGGUGGGGUAAUGGCCUACCAAGGCGGCGACGGGUAGCCGGCCUGAGAGGGUGGACGGCCAGAUUGGGACUGAGACACGGCCCAGACUCCUACGGGAGGCAGCAGUGGGGAAUAUUGCACAAUGGGCGGAAGCCUGAUGCAGCGACGCCGCGUGGGGGAUGACGGCCUUCGGGUUGUAAACUCCUUUCACCAUCGACGAAGGGUUUCUGACGGUAGAUGGAGAAGAAGCACCGGCUAACUACGUGCCAGCCGCCGCCGUAA
rnacentral:rRNA from 1 species